UACAGAGGGUGCAAGCGUUAAUCGGAAUUACUGGGCGUAAAGCGUGCGUAGUCGGUUAUCUAAGUCGGGUGUGAAAUCCCCGGGCUUAACCUGGGAACUGCGUCUGAUACUGGAAGGCUUGAGGAUGGGAGAGGGAUGUAGAAUUCCAGGUGUAGCGGUGAAAUGCGUAGAUAUCUGGAGGAAUACCGGUGGCGAAGGCGGCAUCCUGGACCAUUACUGACGCUGAGGCGCGAAAGCUAGGGGAGCAAACGGG
rnacentral:rRNA from 1 species